rnacentral:lncRNA from 1 species
AGCAACGGUCUAGGCGGUUUAGGGCAGUUAAAGAUGCAUCUAAUGCGGUAGGUUGCGCAGCUUAAUUUUGAAUUUUGGGUUUUAAAUUGUAUAGAUGUUGUUUGAUUGCAUUGAUAGGUUGUUUCAACAAUGUUUUGGAUCAUUUUAGAUUCUUUAUCUCAAAUCAGGAAGAAACACAUACUUGAUACAGUGCUAAAUGUCAUUUCUUAACUCUUAUUUGACCUCACAUUAAAACUCUUAUUCCAUCUCAAGUUUGCAGAAUGAAGCCUCCCUCUUCCUUAGCAUUCCAUCUUCCCUUCUAUCAAAUCCUUUUUCCCCUUAGCACUUGCUUUCUUAUCAUUCCUCUCCACUUUCAUUUAAAUUACUUACCAGCUACCAUUUCAUUACAUCAUUUCUUUUGGUCAUGCGGCAUACAUUAGUGGCAAAUAAGUUACUCAACAAGCGACUCGGAAUUGAUAGUUUUGCAGCAGAUUAUCCAAAUUAUAUACCAGUUAUCUCUGAGCACUAAGACCAUUCUUAAUGCAGCAUCUUUCCAAUUUUAUGCUCAUAUUUAUCAGAUACUCUAAUGUUGCUGAAAUCUAGUGUCAUUUGGAUUUACUUUGACAAAGCAAUAGUAGUGCUACAACAUUGUAGUGUAGGGGAAUUAGAACAAAUCACUAUUUUAUGAAAUCCAUGAUUGACAACACUACGAGUAGUUCAUUCUUGCAUAUGCUCUGAUUAAUGUAUGUUACUG